rnacentral:lncRNA from 1 species
GUUAGCUUCUUGGACGGAUGUGUUAAGAGGGAGGGGCUAUGCAAGACAGUGCUAACUAAAGGGGUUUAAGGCUGUAUCCACUAAAACUUGUAACGCGAUGCUGAAGGUAUGCUCAAGCAAACCCUUCCUGCAAAGGGGUUCGCAGACCUGGGUGUGUGUGCCCACAGCCACAGGGUGUCAGCCUGAGUGUGAUCUCUGCUUUCAGGCCUACAUGACUUGCUUCAUCCGGAUCUGACCCUGGCCAGUGACUGGAUCUAUUGUAUCACGGAUAUCGACCCGGACCACCGGAAGCUCAGCCAACUGGAAGCUGUGGUCCGUUUUCUGACAGGGGUGGAUCCAG